rnacentral:rRNA from 1 species
GAUGAACGCUGGCGGCGUGCCUAAUACAUGCAAGUCGAGCGAACAGACGAGGAGCUUGCUCCUCUGACGUUAGCGGCGGACGGGUGAGUAACACGUGGAUAACCUACCUAUAAGACUGGGAUAACUUCGGGAAACCGGAGCUAAUACCGGAUAAUAUAUUGAACCGCAUGGUUCAAUAGUGAAAGACGGUUUUGCUGUCACUUAUAGAUGGAUCCGCGCCGCAUUAGCUAGUUGGUAAGGUAACGGCUUACCAAGGCAACGAUGCGUAGCCGACCUGAGAGGGGGAUCGGCCGCACUGGAACUGAGACCCGGUCCAGGCUCCUACGGGAGGCAGCAGUAGGGAAUCUUCCGCAAUGGGCGAAAGCCUGACGGAACAACGCCGCGUGAGUGAUGAAGGUCUUCGGAUCGUAAAACCCUGUUAUUAGGGAAGAACAAAUGUGUAAGUAACUAUGCACGUCUUGACGGUACCUAAUCAGAAAGCCACGGCUAACUACGUG